rnacentral:rRNA from 1 species
UCCUCCUACGGGGCGCAGCAGUGGGGGAUAUUGCACAAUGGGGGAAACCCUGAUGCAGCAACGCCGCGUGGGUGAAGAAGGUCUUCGGAUUGUAAAGCUCUGUUCUUGGUGAAGAUAAUGACGGUAGCCAAGGAGAAAGCUCCGGCUAACUACGUGCCAGCAGCCGCGGUAAUACGUAGGUGGCAAGCGUUAUCCGGAUUUAUUGGGUGUAAAGGGCGUGUAGGCGGGAAUGCAAGUCAGAAGUGAAAACUAUGGGCUCAACCCAUAGCCUGCAUUUGAAACUGUAUUUCUUGAGUGCUGGAGAG